rnacentral:lncRNA from 1 species
UUCAGAGCACUUAUACCAAGCAAAGAUAUUUCUUUUAAUUAAGCAUGGAAAAUGUACCUCCCCUUCUUGUAUGAAUGAUUUUUUAAUCUAUGAUAAGCUUUAGAAUAAUGUAAAAUGUUCUAAUAAUCAUCUAGGAUGAAAAAAACAGGGGGGUUCAAUUUACCAUGGGGGUUCAAUUUUCCAUACAGGGGGGUUCAAUUUACCAUGGGGGGGUUCAAUUUACCAUAGCGGUAUUUUGACCCCGGGGUCAAUUUACCAUGGGGUUCAAAAUACCAUAUGACACCGGGCUUAAAAAUGAAA